AUACGGAGGAUCCGAGCGUUAUCCGGAUUUAUUGGGUUUAAAGGGUGCGCAGGCGGGAGAUUAAGUCGGCGGUGAAAUUUUGCAGCUCAACUGUAAAAGUGCCUUCGAAACUGGUUUCCUUGAGUGUAGAUGAAGUAGGCGGGAUUUGUGGUGUAGCGGUGAAAUGCAUAGAUAUCACGAGGAAAUCCGAUUGCGCAGGCAGCUUACUAAACUACUACUGACGCUCAGGCACGAAGGCGUGGGGAUCAAACAGGAUUAGAUACCCUGGUAGUCCACGCAGUAAACGAUGAUUACUAGCUGUUUGCGAUACAAUGUAAGCGGCUGAGCGAAAGCGUUAAGUAAUCCACCUGGGGAGUACGUUCGCAAGAAUGAAACUCAAAGGAAUUGACGGGG
rnacentral:rRNA from 1 species